CCAUUGGCCUGGACCCCAGAGCCCACCCAGCUGAGCGUGUGCAGAGGGCCCUGGGUGUGGGGCAACGCCCAGGCCACCGCAGAAACCAUCCUGAAGACGCUGGUGAAGACAGGCCUUUCCUGCUGAGCCGAGCCUGUCUGCACGGCCUGCUCAGGCGCUGUCUACGCCCCGAGGCCUGGGCUCAGGCCGAAGUUGCUCCACAGCACCCCCAGCUGACAGCCAGCAACUGGCAGAGUCCCCAGGCACGGGGGUCCUCUCUUUCCCAGAGAUCUCCAGUGUGACAGCCCAGGCG